AUUGAACGCUGGCGGCCGGCUUAACACAUGCAAGUCGAGCGAGCGGCCGACGGGUGAGUAAUGUCUGGGAAACUGCCUGAUGGAGGGGGAUAACUACUGGAAACGGUAGCUAAUACCGCAUACCAUCAGAUGUGCCCAGAUGGGAUUAGCUAGUAGGUGGGGUAAUGGCUCACCUAGGCGACGAUCCCUAGCUGGUCUGUGAGGAUGAACAGCCACACUGGAACUGCGACAAGGACCAGACUCAUACGGGAGGCAGCAGUGGGGAAUAUUGAACAAUGGGCGCAAGCCUGAUGCAGCCAGGCCGCGUGUGUGAAGAAGGCCUUCGGGUUGUAAAGUACUUUCAGCGAGGAGGCGGUACUCGCAGAAGAAGCACCGGCUAACUCCGUGCAAGCAGCCGCGGUAAUAC
rnacentral:rRNA from 1 species